rnacentral:rRNA from 1 species
UACGAAGGGGGGCUAGCGUUGCUCGGAAUCACUGGGCGUAAAGGGCGCGUAGGCGGCCAUUCAAGUCGGGGGUGAAAGCCUGUGGCUCAACCACAGAAUUGCCUUCGAUACUGUUUGGCUUGAGUAUGGUAGAGGUUGGUGGAACUGCGAGUGUAGAGGUGAAAUUCGUAGAUAUUCGCAAGAACACCGGUGGCGAAGGCGGCCAACUGGAC